rnacentral:rRNA from 1 species
UACGUAGGGUGCAAGCGUUGUCCGGAAUUAUUGGGCGUAAAGAGCUCGUAGGCGGUUUGUUGCGUCGGCUGUGAAAUCCCGAGGCUCAACCUCGGGUCUGCAGUCGAUACGAGCAAACUAGAGUGUUGCAGGGGAGACUGGAAUUCCUGGUGUAGCGGUGAAAUGCGCAGAUAUCAGGAGGAACACCGGUGGGCGAAGGCGGGGUCUCUGGGCAACAACU